GCGGGGGUACCCAAGCGGUCAAAGGGGUCAGGCUCAAGACCUGAUGGCUUAGUGCCUUCCUGGGUUCGAAUCCCAGCCCCCGCA
rnacentral:tRNA from 2 species